UACAUGGGGUGCAAACGUUGCUCGGAAUCAUUGGGCGUAAAGCGCGCGUAGGCGGUUACUUAAGUCGGAUGUGAAAGCCCUCGGCUUAACCGAGGAAGUGCAUCCGAAACUGAGUAGCUAGAGUACUAAAGAGGGUCGCGGAAUUCCCGGUGUAGAGGUGAAAUUCGUAGAUAUCGGGAGAACACCGGUGGCGAAGGCGGCGACCUGGGUAGAUACUGACGCUGAGGCGCGAAAGCGUGGGGAGCAAACAGG
rnacentral:rRNA from 1 species